rnacentral:rRNA from 1 species
GGUCAAGCGAACAAGUGCAUGUGGUGGAUGCCUUGGCGAUCACAGGCGAUGAAGGACGCGGUAGCCUGCGAAAAGCUACGGGGAGCUGGCAAACGAGCUUUGAUCCGUAGAUAUCCGAAUGGGGAAACCCGGCCCUUUUGGGUCAUCCUGGACUGAAUACAUAGGUCCAGAGAAGCGAACGCGGUGAACUGAAACAUCUAAGUAACCGCAGGAAAAGAAAUCAACCGAGAUUCCCAAAGU